GCGGGGGUCGCCAAGUUCGGACAAAGCUAGGGUCUUGUCUUAAGGCGGUGGACUUAAGAUCCACUCUCGAAUGAGGGGCUCAGACCAUAUCUAGGCAAGGAACGGUCAUGUGCACUCCGAAAAGGAGUUCGUGGGUUCGAAUCCCACCCCCCGCA
rnacentral:tRNA from 1 species